GAUGAACGCUGGCGGCGUGCCUAAUACAUGCAAGUCGAGCGAACAGAUGAGGAGCUUGCUCCUCUGACGUUAGCGGCGGACGGGUGAGUAACACGUGGAUAACCUACCUAUAAGACUGGGAUAACUUCGGGAAACCGGAGCUAAUACCGGAUAAUAUAUGGAACCGCAUGGUUCAAUAGUGAAAGACGGUUUUGCUGUCACUUAUAGAUGGAUCCGCGCCGCAUUAGCUAGUUGGUAAGGUAACGGCUUACCAAGGCAACGAUGCGUAGCCGACCUGAGAGGGUGAUCGGCCACACUGGAACUGAGACACGGUCCAGACUCCUACGGGAGGCAGCAGUAGGGAAUCUUCCGCAAUGGGCGAAAGCCUGACGGAGCAACGCCGCGUGAGUGAUGAAGGUCUUCGGAUCGUAAAACUCUGUUAUUAGGGAAGAACAAAUGUGUAAGUAACUAUGCACGUCUUGACGGUACCUAAUCAGAAAGCCACGGCUAACUACGUG
rnacentral:rRNA from 1 species